rnacentral:tRNA from 1 species
CCUGGUGGCUCAGCGGUAAAGAAUCUGCCUGCAAUGCAGAAGACUCGGGUUUGAUUCCUGGGUCAGGA